AUUGAACGCUGGCGGCAGGCUUAACACAUGCAAGUCGAGCGAGCGGCGGACGGGUGAGUAAUGUCUGGGAAACUGCCUGAUGGAGGGGGAUAACUACUGGAAACGGUAGCUAAUACCGCAUACCAUCAGAUGUGCCCAGAUGGGAUUAGCUAGUCGGGGGGGUAAUGGCUCACAUAGGCGACGAGCCCUAGCUGGUCUGAGAGGAUGACCAGCCACACUGGAACUGAGACACGGGCCAGACGCCUACGGGAGGCAGCAGUGGGGAAUAUUGCACAAUGGGCGAAAGCCUGAGGGAGCAAUGCCGCGUGUGUGAAGAAGGCCUUCGGGUUGUAAAGCACUGUUAGUGGGGAGGCGGUACCUGCAGAAGAAGCAACGGCUAACUACGUGCCAGCAGCCGCGGUAAUUC
rnacentral:rRNA from 1 species